CAAUAUCUUCCCUCAAGUUGGAGAGUGUAUGUUUCGAACUUCCAACUUGACAGACAAGAAAUGCUGGAAACUCCUUCUUAGCAAGUGUCUGUCAAAAUAUCAACAAGUUGCAACUUUUUUCGAAACAUGUUUUGUUGUAACAAAACCUCUCACGGUCCUCUCAUGAAAUGAUAAUUAAUUCCAACAUGCCUCGGCCUUUCAUGAAAAAUGAGAUUAGUUUCCAUAUGAAUUGCUGAAAUGUUAUCAGACGCCAAAUGUAGUCAGUAGAUUUUUCAACCAAAUCAGCUCUUGAACUGCAUCUGGCAUUGCCUUGUAUUCUUCCUCCGUCGACGAGCGAGAGAUUGUGUCUUGUUUGAAUGUUUUUCAAGAAACCGGUGACCCACCUAGCUGAAUAAAUCAGGCCGUUAAAGAUAUCCGUAUGAUGGGACAUGCUCCUCAGUCAGCAUCACACCAGACACUGAAAGACACGGGCUGCCAUGCCUUAAGUAAUAUUCCCUAUCAUGGGUUUCAUUUCAGAUAUUGUACACACGGAUGGCUGCAUCCCAGUGAUCUUGUUUCAGAGCUUGCAUAAAUUGUGAAAGAGUAUGAAUUUCAUAUGAAGACUCAUGUCUCGUUACUCUCAAGUAGUUCAAUCUUCCAACUAAACGUCGAUAUCUAGUCGGUUCCGAAAUCGUGCACCUUCAACCAACGCAAGUUGGUGAUCCUUAUCCAUCAGAAACGAUGCAGGCUUUGCACCAAGAAGUCAUGCUUCAAUGAUAAUGUCCUGAGAAAACAUCCGUUGGUAUAAGUAGAUCCCUGAAGCAUUACGAGCUACUUCUAUAUACCUAAAAGAUACUUGAGAAGACCUAUGUCUUUCAUCUUAAAGCAUUUAAUCAAGUAGACCUUAAAGUUUGCAAUAACCUGCGGAGAACUUCCCAUUCCCAUGAUGAUUAAAUCAUCCACAUAAAUAUAAGUACAUGAAUCUGAAUAUCUUUACACUCAAAGACGAACAGUGAGUAGUCAGAUAUUGAUUACACAAAACCAUACUCUUUUAGUAUUUUUGUCAACUUGGCAAACCAGCAUCUCGAUGUUUGCUUAAGACCAUAAAGAAAUUUGUGUAAUCGACAUACUUUAUUCUUGUCCUCCACACGAAAUCUAGGUAGCAAUUUCGUAAACACCUCCUCCACAAAGUCACCAUGAAAAACUGCAUUAUGCACAUCCAUCUGAUGCACUUCCAAAUCUCUGGCAGCCACUACGUCAAGAAAGCAUCGUUGUCAAUUUUCGCAACUGGUGCAAAUGUCACUACAAGAAAUAUUGGUUUUGAUAGCAGCAAAGGAUAGCAUUUUUUUUGCCUUUCUGCUAUGGUUGACAUAUCCGUUAGUUUUAGAUAGCGUUUGUAUAUUUUGAAACGCUAUGAUAGAGUAGUAUAUUUGGAAACGUUAUGAUAGCGAAUGCUUAAUAGCAAAAUAAUUAAAACGCUAUGUUUGGUUUAUCUAAUCCCAAACCCUAAACAAGUUUUUAAACCCUAAACUCCAAGUAUAAACCUUGAAAAACUUAUAUUCUGAAAUUUAUUCUUUUUAAUUUUAAUAUAUAACUUCCAAACACACAAACCUUAAUUCCUCAAUCAAACUCUAUACCCUAAAUCCUAACAUAAAACAUAUAUAAACCAUACAUCCAAUAAACAUAAAUUUCAAAUCUAAAAUUUUCGUAAUCUAAUAAAUUUAAAAUCUAAAUCUUAAUCACAAAUCAUUAUAUAGAAACUCUAACCCUUGUAUUUUCAAAACUUGUAACCCUAAAAUCAUAAUACAAAACACUUUACACAAACUAAUUAUAAGAACCCCAUUAUGCAGUUUUUGAAAAUCAUAUAACUACAAAAAUCUAAUCAAAAUUUAUAUUUCAUAUGCUAAAUUACAAUAUCUAAUAUUUUGAUUUAGGCAAUUUAUAAAACAAUUAAAAAGAAAUCUAAAAACAAUUUUAUUGCUUCUUUUUAUGACCAUUGAUUGAUUCUAAUCUAAGGGCUGAAAUUAUUCUUUUGUCUAUCUCCAACCUUCUCUCUCAUUGGUUAAUUUUUUUCUCAAAGAUCACGGUUCUUAGCCAUUGAUGCAACGUAAUCCAAAGGCCACAAUUUAGUUUUUCUCUUUCUCACUUAUCUUCUCCUAUACGACUUUUCAUUUUUCUUUCUUCAGCAACAACAUCGACGAUGAACCCAAUGAGGGCGAAGCAACUGGUUGUUGGACCACCAUCGAAGAAGAGACGACGGCACCGGUCUGAGUUCGUCGCUGUCGUAAUCGGUCUCGAACUCGGAGGGAGCAUGGUGGUGCUUAGUAGCGAGGGUGAUUUCUGAAACGGCGGCGGAGAGAGGAGGCGUGAAGAAUUCGAGGUGGUGAUGAAGUUUUGUCAAAGCAAAGCCCUCGCAUCAUCGCAGUGCUCAUCCUCUUGUCCGGUGACGUUUUAAAACUCCCGAAGCAGAUCUGUUUAUACUCAGUUAUGAUUCCUCUUUUUUGGAAAGCCAAUGUCAAGAUUACACAGAUGGCAAAGGAAGCUAGUGGUGGUGGUGGAGGUGAAGCCGAGCAAGAAGAAGAAGAGAGAUGGAGAAAGAGAGAAGACAAAGACACAAAAGGAAGAAGAGGAUGCGGCGAGGUGGAUGGGAGAAGACAACACAUGCGGCUGAGAAGAUUAGAUUUAGGUUUAUUUUUUAAUCUGGGUUUAGGCUUCUUUUUAAUUUUAGGUUUCGUUUUUUGUAAUACAGUUUUAAUUAAUAAAUUAAUUUUAAUUAUAAA